AGUCAAUGAAAUGUAUUACAAAUUAUUUUCAAAACUCUAUUUCUGAAUAAGAUUUAGGAUGCACAAGACAAUCAAAAGACCCCAACAGAGAAUUUAGUUGUUAUUUAUAGGGCGCCAUACAAGUAAAUUAUCUUCAAAAUAACAAGUUCCAAAAAAAAAAAUGCAACAAUGGCAGCUUAUUUCCUGUUGAAAACUGCAAAAUGGAAUAGAGAUGUAUCCAACAGACUGAUGAAGAAACAGUUUUAGUAUCUGUGUUCUAACUUCUCCUUUUCCAGGAAGUUCUGCACAUACGAGUAGGUUCCGACGAGUGGACCAAGCAAGAGGGUAGCGCUGAUCCAAUUUUCAGACACUUUGUGAUGGAUCUUACCAGGAAGAUCCUUCCAUAAACCAGGCAUAAUUUUCUGUUGAAAUGGAGAUAUAGCGUAUACAACAGCCUUCAGCUUCACCGGUUGCUUCCCCAUCUUCCUUCACAGCGAAUAGUGAUUUGCUUCGAUCCUGAACAAAUCUAGGGUUUGUUGAUUUGAGAUUUGGAGAAGAAAAUGGAUUUGUUAUGUUGGUGUUUGGA
rnacentral:misc_RNA from 1 species